GAACGGGUUCUUCGGAACCAGUGGCGGACGGGUGAGUAACACGUGAGAACCUGCCUUCCGGAGGGGGAUAACAGCGGGAAACUGCUGCUAAUACCCCAUACGCCGAGAGGUGAAAGGUCAGCCGCCGGGAGAGGGGCUCGCGUCCGAUUAGUUGGUUGGUGGGGUAAGAGCUCACCAAGGCGACGAUCGGUAGCCGUUUUGAGAGGAAGAACGGCCACACUGGGACUGAGACACGGCCCAGACUCCUACGGGAGGCAGCAGUGGGGAAUCUUCCGCAAUGGGCGCCAGCCUGACGGAACCAGACCGCGUGGGGGAAGAAGGGCCUUGGGUUUUAAACCCCUUUUACCAGGGAAAAAACCCGUAGGUAC
rnacentral:rRNA from 1 species